UAAGUCUCUGGAAGUGAGGACGAGCGAGGUCUUGUUUCAUAAGGAAGGAAAACUCAUGGACAAUAUCCAUCCACAUACCGAUCAAUAUGCCUGCUAAAGCUUUUUGAACACAUUAUCGUUCUCUAUUUACCCGUUCCGAAAAGGACUUGGUGGAAUUCCAAUUCGGCUUCAAAAAAGAUCACUUCGCGAUCAACGCUAUACGACAAAUAAGGGCUCUUCCGGAUUCGGUCAUUUCUCAAAGCGUGACGGAAUAACUGAACUGGAAAAUUAUAAAGAAGGCCUUGGUAUAUUAUCAUAUGCCCAUUUAUCUAGAUCGAAUCCUAGACGAUUAUCUCCGGGAUAAGUACAUCGAAUAGCUGAGUAUCGAUAUUGUCAGAAAAAUGAAUUGCGAUGUCCUACAGAUAUCGGUGCUGAGACAUCGCCUACGACACGAUUCUGCGUACUUUCCUGCCAGAUGGCAUCUACUAUGCGAAUGAUACAUUCAUCCUCGCCGCCGGUAAGAAUGUCGAGAGAACCAUCCGUCUCGCUGAAUUCUUCGCUAUCUGCCGAUCGAGGCUCGACGUGGCGCCUCAGAAGAUUUAAAUAUAGUUUUAUCUGAGAAAGUGCCGAGCUGCGUCUGCUUCGAUCAUGGAACGGCGAACGAUAUGUGUGAAACCACGAAAUAUCUCAGUAUCUAUCUAAACGGCGUUUCGAGAUCCAUUUUGGUCGUCUGGUCCCUUGAUUCGAAAAAAUAGCACUUGAUAAAAUAAGCAUGCCACUUAUUGCUAAACAUAGGGGGAUCCGAGAAGAAUGUUUGUUGCCUUUAUAGUGGAGGCUAUGCAGAAUAUGGCCCACUAUAGUACUCUCAUAUAGAUGGCUAAUCUAAUGAUGAACUAUAUGAAAAAUCGACAAGCUGCAACAAGUUCAACAUCGGUUCACCUUUAGAAUUGCGAGGACAUACUGCAUUGAAGUGGUAUUGGCGAAAUUGUUGCUUUUUCAUCUUUUGACGGAAGAUUACGCCAAAGUAUACAAUUUAGUGCAAGUUCUCCGCUGAAAGGGCAGUGAUAUCAAUGAAGACGAUCGAAUUGAUGGAGCAUCAAGUCCAGUGCCGAAAGCGAAGUGGGAAGACGAGUUCCACAAAUGCUACUCUUAGCGUGUCAUCGAAGCAAUCUUGUUAGUCUUGGAUGGAUGGCUCGAUUUACCUUCCAAAUAAUACAAGUGCUGACCGGUCAUGAUUCUUUCGCCUCUUACUUAUAUUGCAUCGGAAAAGAGGCCACAGAGAAGUCACUGGGUGAACAAGUGUCAAGCGUUCACGAAAAAGCGCUGUUCCAUCUUUUUCCAUCGUUUUCCGUCCAUGAUAGCGGAAAGAGAUAAUUGGCGCGAAGAGAUAAGUGGCCUCUUGCGACGCAAUUAUAUUGCGAAAGGCUGCGGAACGGGAGCGAGAAAUCCACUUCCUCGCUUCGUACUCAACAUUGUAAAGCUUAACAGGCGAUAUGUAAUAUCGACGUGGGGAGGCCCAACGAUGAAAACCAACUUGUAUGGGAAAGACGAUGGUUCCUUGUAAUCCCUGCUGAAUGGCAAUAGGGCGGCUUGACCGUACCAUCGUUGACUAAGCGAAUCAUCUCCCCACAGGGACAAUUCAUAGUUCAUCCCAUGAGGAAAUGAAAUCCAUCUGGUUAGAAGUAUCUUAGCCGAAUAAAGCUAUUAUUACCUUCCAAUGAAAAAGAAGAAGAUAUCUCUAUGGAUUGGCCGCUACCGGCAAAUGCAUCCACCAAUCUAUCUUCCAGUUUCCUCAAUUGGCGCCGGAGAGUGCCUUCUUUCCCGUGUACCAUAGCUUGGAGUUAAGUUUUUAUAGAAAUUCUAAGUUUUUAUAGAAAUUAUCAUUCUCGCAAUCCGGCCAAUUAAGACAAGACGUGAAACAUGACUGUGAAACAUGAUUAGAAACUUACAGUAUGCUAGAGUUCGAAUACACCAAGUUAAACCUGUACUGUAAUCAAAUAAUGACUGCAAUCUCUAGGAGGUAAUGAUCUUUAUUUAUAACAUCAUAAUAGGCUUGUAAAUUUAGAGUAUGAGUCUAGAUAUUUCUCUUUAAGGAAAAACGAAAUAUAAAAUGAACCAAACAAACAAGAGUUCGAAAAUAAAAAAUUAACGGAAAUAGUCAUCUGUUCAGAUUCUACCACAAAAUUUUUAAUUUACAAUAUUUGAAUUCUUAUCUACAUUAUUUAUAAAAGUAUCUAUACCAUCUAUCCCGCUAUUUGAAUAUUCUA